GACGAACGCUGGCGGCGUGCUUAACACAUGCAAGUCGAGCGAUGAGAUCACUUCGGUGAUGGAUUAGCGGCGAACGGGUGAGGAACACGUGAAGAAUCUGCCUUCAACUCUGGGAUAACUCCGGGAAACCGGGGCUAAUACCGGAUAUGAGCCUUGAUCGCAUGAUCGGGGCUGGAAAGUUUUUCGGUUGAAGAUGACUUCGCGGCCUAUCAGCUUGUUGGUGAGGUAAUGGCUCACCAAGGCGACGACGGGUAGCCGGCCUGAGAGGGCGACCGGCCACACUGGGACUGAGACACGGCCCAGACUCCUACGGGAGGCAGCAGUGGGGAAUAUUGGGCAAUGGAGGAAACUCUGACCCAGCGACGCCGCGUGCGGGAUGAAGGCCUUCGGGUUGUAAACCGCUUUCAGCAGGGAAUAAGCGCAAGUGAAGGUACCUGCAGAAGAAGCACCGGCUAACUAUGUGCCAGCAGCCGCGGUAAUACAUAGGGUGCAAGCGUUGUCCGGAAUUAUUGGGCGUAAAGAGCUCGUAGGUGGUUUGUUACGUCGGUUGUGAAAUUCAGGGGCUCAACCCCUGACUUGCAGCCGAUACGGGCAAGCUAGAGUUUGGUAGGGGAGACUGGAAUUCCUGGUGUAGCGGUGGAAUGCGCAGAUAUCAGGAGGAACACCGAUGGCGAAGGCAGGUCUCUGGGCCAAUACUGACACUGAGGAGCGAAAGCGUGGGGAGCGAACAGGAUUAGAUACCCUGGUAGUCCACGCCGUAAACGGUGGGCGCUAGUUGUGCGAACCUUCCACGGUUUGUGCGACGCAGCUAACGCAUUAAGCGCCCCGCCUGGGGAGUACGAUCGCAAGAUUAAAACUCAAAGGAAUUGACGGGGCCCCGCACAAGCAGCGGAGCAUGCGGCUUAAUUCGACGCAACGCGAAGAACCUUACCAAAGGCUUGACAU
rnacentral:rRNA from 1 species